rnacentral:rRNA from 1 species
CCUACGGGUGGCUGCAGUGGGGAAUAUUGGACAAUGGGCGAAAGCCUGAUCCAGCCAUGCCGCGUGUGUGAAGAAGGCCUUCGGGUUGUAAAGCACUUUCAGUGGGGAAGAAAGCCUUGGGGCUAAUACCCUCGAGGAAGGACAUCACCCACAGAAGAAGCACCGGCUAACUCCGUGCCAGCAGCCGCGGUAAUACGGAGGGUGCGAGCGUUAAUCGGAAUUACUGGGCGUAAAGCGCGCGUAGGCGGUCUGAUAAGCCGGUUGUGAAAGCCCCGGGCUCAACCUGGGAACGGCAUCCGGAACUGUCAGGCUAGAGUGCAGGAGAGGAAGGUAGAAUUCCCGGGGUAGCGGUGAAAUGCGUAGAGAUCGGGAGGAAUACCAGUGGCGAAGGCGGCCUUCUGGACUGACACUGACGCUGAGGUGCGAAAGCGUGGGUAGCAAACAGGAUUAGAUACCCUGGUAGUC